AGUCGCGAAUCUUCCACAAUGGACGCAAGUCUGAUGGAGCCACGCCGCGUGCGGGAGGAAGGCCUUCGGGUUGUAAACCGCUGUUGUGAGGGGGGAAUCGCCAUGGUUGAACAGGCCAUGGUUUGACUGCCCUUAUGAGGAAGCCCCGGCUAAACACGUGCAGCAGCCGCGGUAAUACGUGUGGGGCAAGCGUUGUUCGGAAUCACUGGGCUUAAAGGGUGCGUAGGCGGCUUGGUAAGUCAGGUGUGAAAUGUCACGGCCCAACCGUGGAGCUGCAUCUGAUACUGCUUGGCUUGAGUGUGCGAGGGGUGAGCGGAACGAGUGGUGUAGCGGUGAAAUGCGUAGAUAUCACUCGGAAGGCCGGAUGCGAAGGCGGCUCACUGGUGCACAACUGACGCUGAAGCACGAAAGCGUGGGGAGCAAACAGGAUUAGAUACCCUGGUAGUCCACGCCGUAAACGAUGAGCACUAGAUGGCUGGCUUUCUGGGCUGGCUGUCGGAGAAAAAUUGGUAAGUGCUCCGCCUGGGGAGUAUGGUCGCAAGGCUG
rnacentral:rRNA from 1 species